GGCCUAGUGGCUCAGUUGGUUAGAGCGCCGCCCUGUCACGGCAGAGGUCACGGGUUCGAGUCCCGUCUGGGUCG
rnacentral:tRNA from 1 species